AGAGCGGACAAUUAUGACUUGUUUGGCUGCGUGACUGGGGGUUUGAGGAAAUUCGCGGUUCAAAAAGAACAUUAUUUGCUUCGGCAAAUAUUGUUCCCCUGAAGUAAAAAGGCUAAUUGUUUCAAGGGACUCGAACGCUUUUGCUCGUCCACUUUGAUCCAAUCAGUGGAAGAGGCAGCAGUGCGAUUUUUCAAAAUCGCGUCGCGGUGUGACUUUACAAGGAAUUUAACGAAAGUUUUCGAAGACUUUAGAUAUCCGUUAAGUGUCUGUGCUUGUGAAAUAAAGCUCAAACAGCCGUUCGACGGCUGUUUGUUAGGGAUUAUUUCCCAGGUAGACACUCCUUGGAAGCUCGGUGCAUCGCACUCAAUCAGCCGGACGCACUUCUGACCCCACGGUUGGAGUCAAAGUUUCCCGACAAGCCUAUUUCCGUCGGAAGGGAGUGCUACGUCACUACAGCACUCCGGACAGAGCAAGCAGAGCGAUAAAGUCAAAACGUGAGUACCCAUCCCGUUAUAACAUGCGCAUGUGGGUGGGUAUUUUUAAACUUGGAACUGAUGAGACAGUGAACACUGAAAUAAAGUUUACGCUUAAGAAAAUGGAGACGCACGUGGCACGGAAUUGUUAGGGAUGUUAGGGAAAAUGAAAUUGUAAUUUAGCUAGUUAAUAAAUGUUUAAAUGAUAUUUAGUU